AAAGGGGAACCGCUGGCUUCCUGUGAGCGUGGGUUCUUCUCACCCCAGCCUGCAACAGGGAGGAAGCCAUUGACUUCAUCUGAGAGGCUGUAAACAUAAACAUCUCUGAACCUGGGGCUCCAAGGUCCUUUGCAUUGGGGAUCAGAAAGGCUCUCUCUAGUAACACAGAGGACCCCAUGUUGCUACUGCUAAGGUCACCAAGCUUCUGGUCUCCCAUGCCCUUCGGCUCCUGCCACAGCUGUGGAUCUGUGCCUCUCCUUGUGAGCUUACAGGGUUCACAGCACAUGCUUUGCAGCUGCACCACCCAGCUAGAGGCUAGGGGAGCGCAGCAAGCUGAGAGCAUUUCCGCCCACAUCAGAAGGCAGAGAGAAGUUUGCGGAGAGCUACAAUGAGCCCUCCACCAACUGCUUUACAUCUUCUAGGCCAAGAUUUCUCAGUCUUCGCCAUGCAUCAUUGGAUGGGAGACCACAUGGACAGAGCUCUGUGGUGGGAGCUGGCCUUAAAAAAAUGCAUGGGUUUUAGGCAACCAAUGCCUCUGGCCAAGAGAGAGAGAUUUUGAAUGGUUUGGAUCUCAGCGACACAUUGCAUCUCUGUAAUGACCUGUUGUAAAACCAGAGAAACUGAAGAAGAGGAGGAGGAAUAGGAAGAAAAGAACAAGAAGGAAGAAAAAGAAU
rnacentral:lncRNA from 1 species